rnacentral:rRNA from 1 species
GAUGAACGCUGGCGGCGUGCCUAAUACAUGCAAGUCGAGCGAACGGACGAGAAGCUUGCUUCUCUGAUGUUAGCGGCGGACGGGUGAGUAACACGUGGAUAACCUACCUAUAAGACUGGGAUAACUUCGGGAAACCGGAGCUAAUACCGGAUAAUAUUUUGAACCGCAUGGUUCAAAAGUAAAAGACGGUCUUGCUGUCACUUAUAGAUGGAUCCGCGCUGCAUUAGCUAGUUGGUAAGGUAACGGCUUACCAAGGCAACGAUGCAUAGCCGACCUGAGAGGGUGAUCGGCCACACUGGAACUGAGACACGGUCCAGACUCCUACGGGGGCAGCAGUAGGGAAUCUUCCGCAAUGGGCGAAAGCCUGACGGAGCAACGCCGCGUGAGUGAUGAAGGUCUUCGGAUCGUAAAACUCUGCUAUUAGGGAAGAAUAUAUGUGUAAGUAACUGUGCACAUCUUGACGGUACCUAAUCAGAAAGCCACGGCUAACUACGUGCCAGCAGCCGCGGUAAUACGUAGGUGGCAAGCGUUAUCCGGAAUUAUUGGGCGUAAAGCGCGCGUAGGCGGUUUUUUAAGUCUGAUGUGAAAGCCCACGGCUCAACCGUGGAGGGUCAUUGGAAACUGGAAAACUUGAGUGCAGAAGAGGAAAGUGGAAUUCCAUGUGUAGCGGUGAAAUGCGCAGAGAUAUGGAGGAACACCAGUGGCGAAGGCGACUUUCUGGUCUGUAACUGACGCUGAUGUGCGAAAGCGUGGGGAUCAAACAGGAUUAGAUACCCUGGUAGUCCACGCCGUAAACGAUGAGUGCUAAGUGUUAGGGGGUUUCCGCCCCUUAGUGCUGCAGCUAACGCAUUAAGCACUCCGCCUGGGGAGUACGACCGCAAGGUUGAAACUCAAAGGAAUUGACGGGGACCCGCACAAGCGGUGGAGCAUGUGGUUUAAUUCGAAGCAACGCGAAGAACCUUACCAAAUCUUGACAUCCUUUGACAACUCUAGAGAUAGAGCCUUCCCCUUCGGGGGACAAAGUGACAGGUGGUGCAUGGUUGUCGUCAGCUCGUGUCGUGAGAUGUUGGGUUAAGUCCCGCAACGAGCGCAACCCUUAAGCUUAGUUGCCAUCAUUAAGUUGGGCACUCUAAGUUGACUGCCGGUGACAAACCGGAGGAAGGUGGGGAUGACGUCAAAUCAUCAUGCCCCUUAUGAUUUGGGCUACACACGUGCUACAAUGGACAAUACAAAGGGCAGCGAAACCGCGAGGUCAAGCAAAUCCCAUAAAGUUGUUCUCAGUUCGGAUUGUAGUCUGCAACUCGACUACAUGAAGCUGGAAUCGCUAGUAAUCGUAGAUCAGCAUGCUACGGUGAAUACGUUCCCGGGUCU